UCUUCGGAUCGUAAACCGCUUUCAGUUGGGACGAGGGUUGCACGGUGAAUAGCCGGCGUAACUGACGGUACCUUCAGAAGAAGCCCCGGCUAACUACGUGC
rnacentral:rRNA from 1 species